AUUGAACGCUGGCGGCAUGCCUUACACAUGCAGGUCGAACGGCAGCACGGGAGCAAUCCUGGUGGCGAGUGGCGAACGGGUGAGUAAUGUAUCGGAACGUACCUUUCAGUGGGGGAUAACGUAGCGAAAGUUACGCUAAUACCGCAUAUUCUGUGAGCAGGAAAGCAGGGGAUCGCAAGACCUUGCGCUGAUUGAGCGGCCGAUAUCAGAUUAGCUAGUUGGUGAGGUAAAGGCUCACCAAGGCGACGAUCUGUAGCGGGUCUGAGAGGAUGAUCCGCCACACUGGAACUGAGACGCGGUCCAGACUCCUACGGGAGGCAGCAGUGGGGAAUUUUGGACAAUGGGGGCAACCCUGAUCCAGCCAUGCCGCGUGAGUGAAGAAGGCCUUCGGGUUGUAAAGCUCUUUCAGCCGGGAAGAAAUCGCAUGGGUUAAUACCCUGUGUGGAUGACGGUACCGGAAUAAGAAGCACCCGCUAACUACGUGCCAGCCGCCGCCGUAA
rnacentral:rRNA from 1 species